CCAUGAUACUGAGCGCUUUUCUGCCUAGAGAUUUGUCUGCACAUUGCACCACGACAUUGCACCACAUAACACACACAUUACGAAACCAACAGUUAUUUUAAGAACUCCUCUCUGUCUGUCUGUCUUUGUCUGACUGACUGACUGAUGGUCUGUCUGUCUGACUGACUGACUGUCUGUCUGUCUGUCUGAAGGACCGUCUGUGUCCUUAUUUUCUCUUGUCAGGCCUAUGUGCGUGACAGGUGUACCACUGCUGAAAUUGACGGACCUGGAAACCGGGAACAGGGUUGCUUGCUAUGGGCCAGAAAAAUACCUUGAUACUUGCCUUUGUCAAACAUUUAUGGAAGCUUUUUUUUUUUCUUGAUGAAAAUAAAAAUCAAUGAUGCAAAGUCUUCUGUCUUUGGUUUAUUUGACUUAGCUAAUAUAAUUGAGUGUACGAAAUAAUAUGUGUCUAUACUAAAG
ensembl:lncRNA